GGAUGGAUGGCCGAGAGGCUUAUGGCGGCGAUUUGCUGAAUCGCUGAGGACAAGCCGUCCUCCGCUGGUUCGAAUCCAGCUCCAUCCUCCA
rnacentral:tRNA from 1 species